UACGUAGGGGGCAAGCGUUGUCCGGAAUCAUUGGGCGUAAAGAGCGUGUAGGCGGCCCGGUAAGUCCGCUGUGAAAGUCCAGGGCUCAACCCUGGAAUGCCGGUGGAAACUGUCGGGCUAGAGUCCGGAAGAGGCGAGUGGAAUUCCUGGUGUAGCGGUGAAAUGCGCAGAUAUCAGGAGGAACACCGGUGGCGAAGGCGGUUCUCUGGGCCUUACCUGACACUGAGGAGCGAAAGCGUGGGGAGCAAACGGG
rnacentral:rRNA from 1 species